UUUUCUCAUCUAGCCCUAGAAUUCCCUCCCUCCUUCUCCCUCUGUUGAACAUAGCCUGGAAUUUGAGACCAUUGGCUCCAACCUCCCUUUCUGGUCCUUGUCAUGCAGGGAAUUUUUCCCCCUAGAAAAAUGCAUAGAAAAAUCCCAUGCAGAUAUAGCCCAUGGAAUCGUGGGCUGUCUGGGGACAAAGGAAGCCCUGGGACAAGCCCAGGACUCUGUGUCAUGGUCUUCACCUUCUUACUGUGUUUGGCCUGCACUCAGGCUCACGAUGGUGCUCGGUAAAGUAUGAGAUGAUGAAAAU
rnacentral:lncRNA from 1 species